GAUCAUGGCUCGAGAACGAACGCUGGCGGCACGCCUAACACAUGCAAGUCGGACGGAGUAUGGGAGCUUGCUCUUAUACUUAGUGGCGGACGGGUGAGUAACACGUGGGAACAUGUCCUGUAGUGGUGGAUAGUUCCGGGAAACUGGAGGUAAUACGGCAUAAGCUCGAGAGAGGAAAGAGAAAUCGCUAUAGGGGUGGCCCGCGGCUGAUUAGGUAGUUGGUGGGGUAAAGGCCUACCAAGCCGAGGAUCAGUAGCUGGUCUGAGAGGAUGGACAGCCACACUGAAACUGAGACACGGUUCAGACUCCUACGGGAGGCAGCAGUGGGGAAUAUUGGACAAUGGGGGCAACCCUGAUCCAGCCGAUGCCGCGUGAGUGAAGAAGGUCUUAGGAUUGUAAAGCUCUUUUGACAGGGAAGAUGAUGACGGUACCUGUAGAGUAAGCACCGGCUAACUCUGUGCCAGCCGCCGC
rnacentral:rRNA from 1 species